rnacentral:rRNA from 1 species
GACGAACGCUGGCGGCGUGCUUAACACAUGCAAGUCGAACGGAAAGGCCCUGCUUUUGUGGGGUGCUCGAGUGGCGAACGGGUGAGUAACACGUGAGUAACCUGCCCUUGACUUUGGGAUAACUUCAGGAAACUGGGGCUAAUACCGGAUAGGAGCUCCUGCUGCAUGGUGGGGGUUGGAAAGUUUCGGCGGUUGGGGAUGGACUCGCGGCUUAUCAGCUUGUUGGUGGGGUAGUGGCUUACCAAGGCUUUGACGGGUAGCCGGCCUGAGAGGGUGACCGGCCACAUUGGGACUGAGAUACGGCCCAGACUCCUACGGGAGGCAGCAGUGGGGAAUAUUGCACAAUGGGCGGAAGCCUGAUGCAGCAACGCCGCGUGCGGAAUGACGGCCUUCGGGUUGUAAACCGCUUUCGCCUGUGACGAAGCGUGAGUGACGGUAAUGGGUAAAGAAGCACCGGCUAACCACGUG